CUCUGUCGAACUCUCUGGAAGGAAAUUGAAUGGAGCGGUUGAAGACGGCGGUCGCCCAAAUCGCCGCCACCACGGACAGCCGCCUCCGGGAGCUCCCGCUCCUCCACCGUUCCCUUCUGCUCCCUCUCCUCUCCCUCGCCUCCUCCCUCUACCGCCAUUCCCUCGCCCUCCGUCGCCGCGUCUACGCUCUCGGACUCCUCUCCCGGCAAAGGUUGCCGGUGCCGGUGAUCAGCGUUGGCAAUCUGACGUGGGGCGGCAACGGGAAGACUCCUAUGGUGGAAUUUAUUGCCCGGAUCUUUUUGGAGGCCGGGAUCUCGCCGCUCAUCCUAACCAGGGGCUAUGCAGGAGGUGAUGAAGUUAAAAUGAUUCAGAGACACCUUGCAGGGACACCUACUAGGAUCGGUGUAGGUGCUAAUAGGAGUGCAACUGCAGCUUCUAUAUUCAGACAACAUGGUUACAUGAAGUUCAAUAGCACAUUGUUUGCAGAACAACUAUCAAGUACUCAGCAUUUGAGACUUGCAUCUGGAAAUGACAAAGUGGCUGUUGCAAUUUUGGAUGAUGGAAUGCAGCAUUGGAGCUUGUCUCGUGAUGUGGAAAUGGUAAUGAUAAAUGGCUUGAUACCAUGGGGAAACAACCAUCUGCUUCCUCGCGGAUCCCUGAGAGAACCAUUGGAUGCACUUUGUAGAGCAGACAUCACUGUGAUUCACCAUGCAGAUUUGUUAUCUGAAGGGAAGCUCAAAAUGAUAGAGACAAAGAUUCGGAUCAUCGAUCCAUGUUCUACCAUAUUCUUUAGUAGAUUGGCACCAUCUCACUUUUUUGAAGUGAAGAAUCAGCAUUCCAUAUUGCCGUUAGGUCUGGUGCUUAACAGGACUGUGCUAUGCGUUUCUGGAAUUGGUUCCCCAUGUGCUUUUGCCCAAGUAGUUGGUAAGAUCGGGCCAUCAUAUGUUGAUAGAUUAGACUUUGAUGAUCAUCACUCCAUCCAAUUUCAUGUACCCAAGAAUUUAACCAAAUAUAUACCUGGUCUGAAUUGGAUACGGGUAUUUACUGACUAUCGUGGAGACUAAAAUGUAUCUAAACAUACUUUAGCAGGUUGGGCGGGCAAGGUAUGGAAAAAACAUGACUGAUUGCCAUUGCUUGUAUGAUCUAUUAUACAUUCUUAAGUGUUUAAUGCUCUUGUAUCUGUUCAGAUGGAGAAAGCCAGUGACAAGUUUGACUAAAUUUGCUACUAAUUUUUUCCCCUACGAUAGAACAUUUGCCUUGCAAGUAGCAGAAGUGAGGACGUUGUGAAAUGGGUUCACUUUACCAAUUUGUGUAAUCAAAACUCAUAGCAGAACUUAGAAGACUUAUCUCAUAACCUUUUUAAGUUUUCUAUAAUUAUAAUUAGUUUAUUUGAUAUAUGUAACAUAUUUAUUUUUGAAGAAACACUGGUUUUAUUUGUCAGUUGUUUGAUUUCAUCUAGUUUACCUGAAAUUUGUUGGAUCUCCAUUGAAGGAUAUCAAGUUGAUCAAAGAGAGACUAGAGGAGCUCGCGAAUAGAUUCAGAGAAAAAAUUAUUGUAGUGGUGACUGAAAAGGACUAUGAUCGAGAUCCACUUAUUCUAACGGAGCUACAUGAUUUUGAUGUCCUGGUCCUCUGUUGUUC